GACAGCGUGGUAUAGUGGUUUGAGUAUUGGACUGUGAAUCUGGAGUUCAGGGUUCGAAUCAAUGUUCAGCCA